rnacentral:rRNA from 1 species
GGACGAACGCUGGCGGCGUGCUUAACACAUGCAAGUCGAGCGGUAAGGCCCUUUCGGGGGUACGACGAGCGGCGAACGGGUGAGUAACACGUGGGUGACCUGCCCUCAGCUCUGGGAUAAGCCUGGGAAACCGGGUCUAAUACCGGAUAUGACUCCAUGACGCAUGUUGUGGGGUGGAAAGCCUUGUGCGGCUGAGGAUGGGGCCCGCGGGCCUAUCAGCUUGUUGGUGGGGUGAGUGGCCUACC